UACGUAGGGUGCAAGCGUUGUCCGGAAUUAUUGGGCGUAAAGAGCUCGUAGGCGGUUUGUUGCGUCGGCUGUGAAAUCCCGAGGCUCAACCUCGGGUCUGCAGUCGAUACGAGCAAACUAGAGUGUUGCAGGGGAGACUGGAAUUCCUGGUGUAGCGGUGAAAUGCGCAGAUAUCAGGAGGAACACCCGGUGGCGGAAGGCGGGGUCUCUGGGCCGAUACUGACGCUGGAGGAGC
rnacentral:rRNA from 1 species